rnacentral:misc_RNA from 1 species
AAGUCGUAACAAGGUAACCGUAGGUGAACCUGCGGUUGGAUCAUUAAAAAGAUCAUGUCUUGGCGCGGAGAAACUGGAAGCUCAAAGCCUCCGGCGGUACCCGUGUCGAGACGCUCACCUUACCAGUGAGUUAAACAUCAUGUGCACUGUUCUGUCUCUGGCGGUGGGAUGGCCAAACACCAUCUGCCAGCAUCCGAGGACUUCCUCGGUGUGCCGUGGGCAAGCCGCCAAUGGUGUGUUUCCAACACGAACUUUUUGUUUACACUCAACUGUCUGACCCAAUUUGUAUCUAAAAUAUACAAAAACAA